GACGAACGCUGGCGGCGUGCUUAACACAUGCAAGUCGAGCGGAAAGGCCCUUUCGGGGGUACUCGAGCGGCGAACGGGUGAGUAACACGUGAGUAAUCUGCCCUUGGCUUUGGGAUAACCACCGGAAACGGUGGCUAAUACCGGAUAUGACGGGCUCCGGCAUCGGGGUUCGUGGAAAGUUUUUUCGGCCAGGGAUGUGCUCGCGGCCUAUCAGCUUGUUGGUGGGUAAUGGCUACCAAGGCUUCGACGGGUAGCCGGCCUGAGAGGGUGACCGGCCACACUGGGACUGAGACACGGCCCAGACUCCUACGGGAGGCAGCAGUGGGGAAUAUUGGACAAUGGGCGGAAGGCCUGAUCCAGCAACGCCG
rnacentral:rRNA from 1 species